rnacentral:misc_RNA from 1 species
CAGGCUUGGUCGGGUCACACGUUGAUCAUUCGCUGGCUCCUCCUUGUAGGUGUUGGCGGAGAGGUUUUCGUGUUUCUCGUCUCGCGGUGGGACGACGCGUGAGUGGCUGUAUGGACGCGAUGCCAAGUCAGGCUCCUUGCAUCUCGCAGCGAACUGCCUCGGCCCGUCCUCUUCGCUUGUCGGUUCGCCUCGGCCAUUUUUAGUGUCGUUUGCGGGUAUACCUGCGGACUCCUGUGCUCGAUAUUCGAAGAUGGUAGUCGGAUGGAUCAAUGCCACAGUCCCGGUACAGUUGAUUCACCACCCUUCGGUCUCGCGGGUGUUGGUGGCUGUCGUCGUGUGCGCAUCGGACGUCGGACAUCGGGAAGGUUGUCGCCCUGCUUUCGGGCGGUCCUUCUCGGGACGGCGCGUCGGUGCCGCCGAGCUUUGCUCUCGGGUGCGGUGUUUUAGUUGGACGUCGCAUCGGCCCCUGCGUCCGGUGUGAUCUCGAAGCGUUUCGGCGUCACUCUCGUGCCCGUCCAUGAUGGUCUCUCGGAGCAAUGCGGUUUCGUGAACGUCUUGGGGAGGCAUCGAGGUGUGUCCGGAGGAUUGC